CUAUGAAGGUUGGUAGGUUUCCGGAACGCCCCGUCCCAGCAGAUGUGGAUGCAGGGGUUCGUGCCACCUAUGUCGUUGGUACUACUGAAACUAGCGUUUAACUCUGUCCCAGCAGGUGUGGAUGCAGAGUUCGUAACUCGUUUGAGUACCGAGCGAAGGAAUGAAUUUACAAACAUAUGCUAGCCGAUAUAUACAACUGACCCAUGAUUCACGGUAACGCGAACUACCGGGUAACUAGCGCCAUCUAGUCUUCGGGUCGAGUACUAAAAUCGGUGUUACAGUCUCCCCCUCUGUCUGCGAAGUCGUCCCGACGAGAGAGACAGGAAGUCGGGAAGCUGGUUUCAGUUCUUCUGCGAUUUUGGAGGUCUUCCUCGAGGGCGUCGAGGAUUCACCGUUGUUGGUUGGAUGGGUUGCUUUCGAGGUCGGCCUCUCUUGCGAAUCACUUGAGUGGGCUGUGGUAAGUCGUUCUCUUCCAACCUCUUAAAUCUUCUGAUUACCGAGGCAUG